rnacentral:rRNA from 1 species
GGGCACCACCAGGGGGUGCAGCUGCGGCUUAUUUGACUCAACACGGGAAAUCUCACCAGGCCCGGACACCGGAAGGAUUGACAGAUUAACAGCUCUUUCUUGAUUCGGUGGGUGGUGGUGCAUGGCCGUUCUUAGUUGGUGGAGCGAUUUGUCUGGUUAAUUCCGGUAACGAACGAGACUCUAGCCAGCUAAAUAGGCGUCGCCAUUUAGGUGUGCUCGACUUCGGUCGUGCAACUCACUGGCGGCGUAUUAAAAUUCUUCUUAGAGGGACCGGCGGCUUCGAGCCGCACGAGAUUGAGCAAUAACAGGUCUGUGAUGCCCUUAGAUGUCCUGGGCCGCACGCGCGCUACAUUGAAGGAAUCC